rnacentral:rRNA from 1 species
UUGCCUACGGGGGGCAGCAGUGAGGAAUAUUGGUCAAUGGGCGGAAGCCUGAACCAGCCAAGUCGCGUGAGGGAAUAAGGCCCUACGGGUCGUAAACCUCUUUUGCCGGGGAGCAAGGGCGGGGACGUGUCCCGGCCCGGAGAGUACCCGGAGAAAAAGCAUCGGCUAACUCCGUGCCAGCAGCCGCGGUAAUACGGAGGAUGCGAGCGUUAUCCGGAUUUACUGGGUGUAAAGGGAGCGUAGACGGAAAGGCAAGUCAGAAGUGAAAACCCAAGGCUCAACCAUGGGACUGCUUUUGAAACUGU